rnacentral:rRNA from 1 species
UACGUAGGGGGCAAGCGUUGUCCGGAUUUAUUGGGCGUAAAGAGCGUGUAGGCGGCCAGGUAGGUCAGCUGUGAAAACUCGAGGCUCAACCUCGAGACGUCGGUUGAAACCACCUGGCUAGAGUCCGGAAGAGGAGAGUGGAAUUCCUGGUGUAGCGGUGAAAUGCGCAGAUAUCAGGAGGAACACCGGUGGCGAAGGCGGUGGUCUGGGCCGGAACUGACGCUGAGGAGCGAAAGCGUGGGGAGCGAACAGG